GAUGAACGCUGGCGGCGUGCCUAAUACAUGCAAGUCGAGCGAACAGACGAGGAGCUUGCUCCUCUGACGUUAGCGGCGGACGGGUGAGUAACACGUGGAUAACCUACCUAUAAGACUGGGAUAACUUCGGGAAACCGGAGCUAAUACCGGAUAAUAUAUUGAACAGCAUGGUUCAAUAGUGAAAGACGGUUUUGCUGUCACUUAUAGAUGGAUCCGCGCCGCAUUAGCUAGUUGGUAAGGUAACGGCUUACCAAGGCAACGAUGCGUAGCCGAACUGAGAGGGUGAUCGGCCACACUGGAACUGAGACACGGUCCAGACUCCUACGGGAGGCAGCAGUAGGGAAUCUUCCGCAAUGGGCGAAAGCCUGACGGAGCAACGCCGCGUGAGUGAUGAAGGUCUUCGGAUCGUAAAACUCUGUUAUUAGGGAAGAACAAAUGUGUAAGUAACUAUGCACGUCUUGACGGUACCUAAUCAGAAAGCCACGGCUAACUACGUG
rnacentral:rRNA from 1 species